GAGUCUGAUGGAGCACGCCGCGUGAGCGAUGAAGGCCUUCGGGUCGUAAAGCUCUGUUGUUAGGGAAGAACAAGUACCGGAGUAACUGCCGGUACCUUGACGGUACCUAACCAGAAAGCCACGGCUAACUACGUGCCAGCAGCCGCGGUAAUACGUAGGUGGCAAGCGUUGUCCGGAAUUAUUGGGCGUAAAGCGCGCGCAGGCGGUCCUUUAAGUCUGAUGUGAAAGCCCACGGCUCAACCGUGGAGGGUCAUUGGAAACUGGGGGACUUGAGUGCAGAAGAGGAAAGCGGAAUUCCACGUGUAGCGGUGAAAUGCGUAGAGAUGUGGAGGAACACCAGUGGCGAAGGCGGCUUUCUGGUCUGUAACUGACGCUGAGGCGCGAAAGCGUGGGGAGCAAACAGGAUUAGAUACCCUGGUAGUCCACGCCGUAAACGAUGAGUGCUAAGUGUUAGAGGGUUUCCGCCCUUUAGUGCUGCAGCUAACGCAUUAAGCACUCCGCCUGGGGAGUACGGCCGCAAGGCUGAAACUCAAAGAAA
rnacentral:rRNA from 2 species